UGGGGAAUAUUGCACAAUGGACGGAAGUCUGAUGCAGCAACGCCGCGUGCGGGAUGACGGCCUUCGGGUUGUAAACCGCUUUUUCUCAUGACGAAGUUUUUUGACGGUAGUGGGGGAAGAAGCACCGGCUAACUACGUGCCAGCAGCCGCGGUGAUACGUAGGGUGCGAGCGUUGUCCGGAAUUAUUGGGCGUAAAGAGCUUGUAGGCGGUUUGUCGCGUCGAUAGUGCAAACUCAGUGCUUAACGCUGAGCCUGCUGUUGAUACGGGCAGACUAGAGGAAGGUAGGGGAGAAUGGAAUUCCCGGUGGAGCGGUGGAAUGCGCAGAUAUCGGGAGGAACACCGGUGGCGAAGGCGGUUCUCUGGGCCUUUCCUGACGCUGAGAAGCGAAAACGUGGGGAGCGAACAGG
rnacentral:rRNA from 1 species